rnacentral:rRNA from 1 species
GACGAACGCUGGCGGCGUGCUUAACACAUGCAAGUCGAACGGAAAGGGACUGCUCUUGUGGGGUGCUCGAGUGGCGAGAAGGUGAGUAACACGCGAGAAACAUCCCCUUGAAUUUGGGAUAACUUCAGGAAAAUGGAGCUAAUAUCGCAUAUGAGAUCCUGCUGCAUGGUGGGGGCUGGAAAGUUUCGGCGGGUGGGGGUGGGCGCGCGGCUUAUCAGCUUGUUGGUGGGGUAGUGGCUUACCAAGGCUUUGACGGGUAGCCGGCCUGAGAGGGUGACCGGCCACACUGGGACUGAGAUACGGCCCAGACUCCUACGGGAGGCAGCAGUGGGGAAUAUUGCACAAUGGGCGGAAGCCUGAUGCAGCAACGCCGCGUGCGGGAUGACGGCCUUCGGGUUGUAAACCGCUUUCGCCUGUGACGAAGCGUGAGUGACGGUAAUGGGUAAAGAAGCACCGGCUAACUACGUG